rnacentral:misc_RNA from 1 species
UCCGAGUUGACCCCGGCAGUCUCUCACGAGUCCCCACCCGAAGUGAUGGCAACAUAGGACAGGGGUUGCGCUCGUUGCGGGACUUAACCCAACAUCUCACGACACGAGCUGACAACAGCCAUGCACCACCUGUGAUCCUGCCCCGAAGGGAAACCCUGUUUCCAGGGUGGUCAGGAACAUGUCAAGCCCAGGUAAGGUUCUUCGCGUUGCGUCGAAUUAAACCACAUGCUCCGCUGCUUGUGCGGGUCCCCGUCAAUUCCUUUGAGUUUUAGCCUUGCGGCCGUACUCCCCAGGCGGGGCACUUAAUGCGUUAGCUGCGGCACCCAGGGGGUCAAUACCCCGGACACCUAGUGCCCAUCGUUUACAGCGUGGACUAC